rfam:Ovis aries breed Texel chromosome 9, whole genome shotgun sequence.
UCCCUGGUGGCUCAGAUGAUAAAGCGCCUGUCUACAAUGCAGGAGACCUGGGUUCAAUCCCUGGGUCGGGAA